UGUGGCGAAUGAAUGGUGUAUGGUGGUAACAAUGGUGGAAGUCUAAUUCUAGUUUUGCUCUUUUGAGGGGAUACAUACCUUUCUUGCACUUUGAAGAUUUUUUAGAAGAAUGAGAUGCUCUAUAUUUUCUUUUUCUUUUCUCUCAGGUGUGUAUCUUGUACCCCUAAUUCUACUGUCGGACACUUGUCCAUUUUUACCUCUCGUCUCACUUUUUCUUUUCUUUCGAGGUUCCAGGCACUUGCCCUUUUUUGUUUCCUCGUAUUCACUCUUUUUUUCAGAGCACUCACCCUCCUAGAAUAAUGUAGCAAGUGGUAGUAACCAAAAUAUCAAGAGCAUUUAUUUCACAAAGAAUAACAGGGAUAGGAUAAUGUUUUUGGCUAUUCUCUCCCGGAUAGGAGUAGAAUAAUUUGGGUAAAUCUGG
rnacentral:lncRNA from 1 species